rnacentral:rRNA from 1 species
GACGAACGCUGGCGGCGUGGAUUAGGCAUGCAAGUCGGACGGUAGAGCUUUAUCGUAAGAUAGAGUUUGAGAGUGGCGAACGGGUGAGUAACACGUAGGAAUCUACCCUUAAGACGGGGACAACCCAGGGAAACUUGGGCUAAUACCGGAUGAGAGUGCGAGAGAUUGCAUUUAAAAGGAUGGCGAAAGUUGUCGCUUAGGGAUGAGCCUGCGGCCCAUCAGGUAGUUGGUGAGGUAACGGCUCACCAAGCCUAAGACGGGUAACCGGUCUGAGAGGAUGUCCGGUCACACUGGGACUGAGACACGGCCCAGACUCCUACGGGAGGCAGCAGCAGGGAAUCUUGGGCAAUGGGCGAAAGCCUGACCCAGCGACGCCGCGUGGAGGAAGAAGUCCUUCGGGCGUAAACUCCUGGACUGGGGGACGAGUAAGGACGGUACCCCAGUAGAAAGGGACGGCUAACUACGUGCCAGCAGCCGCGGUGAUAUAGCGUACU